AUAUAUAUAGUAUAAACAAUAUAUUUAAUUUCCAAUUAAAAGAUUUAAUUUAAAAUAUAUAUA
rnacentral:tRNA from 2 species